rnacentral:lncRNA from 1 species
UUCAAUCUCGGAGACAACUCUGGGAGUUACAGUUUUCAAUCCCGGAGACAAACCCGGGAGAUUCAAUUCCUAUCUCGGAGAUAAUCCCAAGGGAUCCAGUCCAAGUUUUGAAGAUAACCUCGAAAAAGUCAGUUUUAAACCCAUAGAUCCCGGUUCAAACCCGGAGAUAACUCCGGGAGGUCAAGCACACCUCAAAGAUAACUCUGAGGACAUUCAGUAUCCACAGCAGCCCAAUCUCAGAGAUAACCUUGAGAAACGACUGCUACAUCUGCGCUAGACCUGACAAUAUAGUUAGUUAACUGUUGGGUCAAACCAUAUUAACGGGAACCAAAUGGGUUGGUUAACCAUUUUUAUUUAUUCAGGUUGGUUAAAGUUUGAACUCAUAUUUUUUAAAACAAAUAUAGUUCUGAACCGGUUAACCAUUUUUCAACCAAUAUUCC